UACGUAGGCAGCAAGCGUUGUUCGGAAUUACUGGGCGUAAAGAGUGUGUAGGCGGUGUUCUAAGUGUGGUGUGAAAUCUCCCGGCUCAACUGGGAGGGUGCGCCGCAGACUGGAAUGCUAGAGUAUGGGAGAGGUAAGCGGAAUUCCUGGUGUAGCGGUGAAAUGCGCAGAUAUCAGGAAGAACACCCGUGGCGAAGGCGGCUCUCUGGGACGGUACUGACGCUGAGACGCGAAAGCGUGGGGAGCGAACAGG
rnacentral:rRNA from 1 species